rnacentral:rRNA from 1 species
GACGAACGCUGGCGGCGUGCUUAACACAUGCAAGUCGAACGAUGAAGCUGGAGCUUGCUCCGGUGGAUUAGUGGCGAACGGGUGAGUAACACGUGAGCAAUCUGCCCUUGACUCUGGGAUAACUGCGGGAAACUGUAGCUAAUACCGGAUACGACCCUUGGAGGCAUCUCUGGGGGUGGAAAGAAUUUCGGUCAAGGAUGAGCUCGCGGCCUAUCAGCUAGUUGGUGAGGUAAUGGCUCACCAAGGCGACGACGGGUAGCCGGCCUGAGAGGGUGACCGGCCACACUGGAACUGAGACACGGUCCAGACUCCUACGGGAGGCAGCAGUGGGGAAUAUUGCACAAUGGGCGAAAGCCUGAUGCAGCAACGCCGCGUGAGGGAUGAAGGCCUUCGGGUUGUAAACCUCUUUUAGCAGGGAAGAAGCGAAAGUGACGGUACCUACAGAAAAAGCACCGGCUAACUACGUGCC